rnacentral:rRNA from 1 species
UACGAAGGGGGCUAGCGUUGCUCGGAAUCACUGGGCGUAAAGCGCACGUAGGCGGAUUGCUAAGUCAGGGGUGAAAUCCUGGAGCUCAACUCCAGAACUGCCUUUGAUACUGGCGUGCUAGAGGACAGCAGAGGCAAGUGGAAUUUGUAGUGUAGCAGUGAAAUGCGUAGAUAUUACAAGGAACACCAAUGGCGAAGGCAGCUUGCUGGGCUACUCCUGACACUGAGGUACGAAAGCGUGGGGAGCGAACAGG